UACGGGAGGCAGCAGUGGGGAAUAUUGCACAAUGGGCGCAAGCCUGAUGCAGCCAUGCCGCGUGUAUGAAGAAGGCCUUCGGGUUGUAAAGUACUUUCAGUCGUGAGGAAGGUGUUAAGGUUAAUAACCUUAGCAAUUGACGUUAGCGACAGAAGAAGCACCGGCUAACUCCGUGCCAGCAGCCGCGGUAAUACGGAGGGUGCGAGCGUUAAUCGGAAUUACUGGGCGUAAAGGGCACGCAGGCGGUUAAUUAAGUUGGAUGUGAAAUCCCCGGGCUUAACCUGGGAAUGGCAUUCAAGACUGGUUAGCUAGAGUCUUGUAGAGGGGGUAGAAUUCCAUGUGUAGCGGUGAAAUGCGUAGAGAUGUGGAGGAAUACCGGUGGCGAAAGGCGGCCCCUGGACAAAGGACUGACGCUCAUGUGCGAAAGCGUGGGGAGCAAACAGGAUUAGAUACC
rnacentral:rRNA from 1 species